AUUUUUUGGUUGGGACAGGGCUCCUACAAUGCAGUCGACGGUACAGGUAGCAGCUUGCUGCUUCGCUGACGAGUGGCGGACGGGAGAGUAAUGUCUGGGAAACUGCCUGAUGGAGGGGGAUAACUACUGGAAACGGUGGCUAAUACCGCAUAACGUCGCAAGACCAAAGAGGGGGACCUUCGGGCCUCUUGCCAUCAGAUGUGCCCAGAUGGGAUUAGCUUGUUGGUGAGGUAACGGCUCACCAAGGCGACGAUCCCUAGCUGGUCUGAGAGGAUGACCAGCCACACUGGAACUGAGACACGGUCCAGACUCCUACGGGAGGCAGCAGUGGGGAAUAUUGCACAAUGGGCGCAAGCCUGAUGCAGCCAUGCCGCGUGUAUGAAGAAGGCCUUCGGGUUGUAAAGUACUUUCAGCGGGGAGGAAGGUGUUGUGGUUAAUAACCGCAGCAAUUGACGUUACCCGCAGAAGAAGCACCGGCUAACUCCGUGCCAGCAGCCGCGGUAAUACGGAGGGUGCAAGCGUUAAUCGGAAUUACUGGGCGUAAAGCGCACGCAGGCGGUCUGUCAAGUCGGAUGUGAAAUCCCCGGGCUCAACCUGGGAACUGCAUUCGAAACUGGCAGGCUUGAGUCUUGUAGAGGGGGGUAGAAUUCCAGGUGUAGCGGUGAAAUGCGUAGAGAUCUGGAGGAAUUCCGGUGGCGAUGGCGGCCCCCUGGACAAAGACUGACGCUCAGGUGCGAAAGCGUGGGGGAGCAAACAGGAUUAGAUACCCUGGUAGUCCACGCCGUAAACGAUGUCUACUUGGAGGUUGUGCCCUUGAAGGCGUGGCUUCCGGAGCUAACGCGUUUAGUAGACCCGCCUGGGGAGUACGGCCGCAAGUUUAAUAACUUCAUAUUGAAUUGACGGGGGCCCGCACUAGCGGUGGAGCAUGUGGUUUAAUUCCGAUGCAUACGCGAAGUACCUUACCUAGUUCUUGACAUCACGUAAGUUUCAAUAAUAUGAAAUAUGUGCUUCGGGUAUCCGUGAGAACAGGUGCUGCAUGGCUGUCGUCAGCUCGGUGUUGGAAUGUUGAGCUAAGUCCGCUACUAGCGCUACCUUACUAUGUGCAGCGAUAGCGGUAUCUAAGUAAUGCUCAGGCUACCU
rnacentral:rRNA from 1 species